rnacentral:rRNA from 1 species
AUUGAACGCUGGCGGCAGGCCUAACACAUGCAAGUCGAACGAGUGGCGGACGGGUGAGUCAUGUCUGGGAAACUGCCCGAUGGAGGGGGAUAACUACUGGAAACGGUAGCUAAUACCGCAUACCAUCGGAUGUGCCCAGAUGGGAUUAGCUUGUAGGUGAGGUAACGGCGCACCUAGGCGCCGAUCCCUAGCUGGUCUGAGAGGAUGACCAGCCACACUGGAACUGAGCCACGGUCCAGACUCCUACGGGAGGCAGCAGUGGGGAAUAGGGAAAAAUGGGCGAAAGCCUGAUGCAGCCAUGCCGCGUGUAUGAAGAAGGCCGUCGGGUUGUAAAGUACUUUCAGCGGGGAGGUGUGUCCCGCAGAAGAAGCACCGGCUAACGCCGUGCCAGCAGCCGCGGUAAUUC